rnacentral:misc_RNA from 1 species
GUAAGUUUUCCCCCUUAAAAAGACUUCACCAAAUAAAGGAAUUAUAUAUAAUUAUAUAUGUAUAUGAGCUGGAUCUUUCAACUCUGACCACAGACACAAGAAAUUAUACUAUUCUACUUCUUUAUUGCUAGUUGUUCACAGAAAGCAUAUGAAAACGAGUAUUCUCUCUGUGUCUUGCAUUUGUAUUACCCUUUGAUUUGAAAUCUCAUGUGUCAAGCUGAAAUCUUGGAUUCUGUUUCCACUCUGCUUCCACAGAUCCAGAGUGAAGUCGAAACUAUAUAAAACAGAUUAUUCCUUGAUUUUGUUUUAUCAAAGUUUUUCUUUCUCAUCUACAAUCAUGUAUGUCUCUCGUAACUGAAUUCCCAAUUCAAAGUAU